GGGAGUUCUCUGUGCCUCUUGGAUUUCAAUACCUGUUUCCUUCCCUAGAUCAGGGAAGUUCUCAGCUAUGAUUUGUUCAAGUACACAUUCAGCCCCUUUCUCUCUCUCUUCUUCUUCUUGAUCUAAGCCACAGUUUUAUGUCCAAGGGUCAUGUUGUCUCUCCCUGGAAGACCUUGUUGCAUAAUGCUCUCUAUGCAAAUUCCUUCCCAUCCUCUAUGAUGCUGUCAUGCUGUGAAGUCUUUCAUGAACCCCAACCCAGUCACUCUAUCCCUGCACCUCAUAACUGUAAGCACACAGCUCCAUUAGUCCUUUCAUUGAUUGCAAACAAAAAUUUUCAUUUCUUCCUCUCUGUAAGAUUUAAGCUCCCAGAAGACCAUGGGUGUGUUUUAUUCAACUUUCUUCAAUGCAUGGUAGAGGGAGUGUGUUUCUCUAUUUGCAGUUUUCUGUCUAACCAUAAAGAUACACAAUCUUGCAUUAUAUUGCAGACUUCUUGAACUUUCAUUGUCUCACAGAGCCUUUGUCAUGCUUGAGCUGGAGAUUUCACUCUACACUUCUUUAUAAACAUAUUAAAUAAACACUGUGUUAGAAAGGCUUUCUGAGCAGCACUUGUGUAAACUACUUUGAUCAGAGAAGUUCCUGUUCAUUAUUGUCUUUUUUCUUCUCCCUAAAUUAAUUAUGAUUAACAUAAAAUUAGGCAACUGCCAUUAAAUCAUUUUUUUUUGCAGAAAAUUUCAAGUUUCUAAUUAAAAAAAAACAACUUGGAACCUAUUUUGUUUUGUCAUACUUAUUUUGGGUGUUUGGAGCUAUAUCCUGGCUACCUGAAUAAUGUUAGGCAAAGCCCUCACUUAGUUGGAUGUUCUAAAGACUUCCUAUCCCAUAUUAACUUGAUUUAAAACAUCUUGUUAGAGUUAAACUUGACCAGAUGUUUCUCUGUCUAUGGGCACCCCUUUCGGAAAUUCAAAUAGGUUGGUCAGAUAUCAUGUUUCCUUAUGGAAGUCAGGUCUUUCCCUCCUGAGGUUAUGUGUGCUUAGGUAGCUAUGGUUGUGUAUCACACUUAUGAAUAGGAAAAUGUAUUACUAGUUAUUUUUUGAAUUUUUCUUAUAUACUCAUCAUAAAACUAGAUGCAAAUGUAUUUAAUAUUCUGGUUCUGUCUUUUGCCUUCACUUAUUUUGCAAAUCAGAAGAAAUUCUUGUAUAGUUGUGGGAAUUAGACAGUUAGCUAGAAAGCAGGGAUUGUUUGCAAAUUCUUAAAAUAAUUCCUACACUUGGUUUCUGCAAAUUGUUCCUGGCUCUAAUCCUCACUGAUAGUGGGACACUUAGUGCUCUCUUGACAUUUUUACAAAGGUAGGCAAUGUCUGGGAGCCCUAUGGCUGAGAUUAUUUUAGGAUGAUAUCUCCCUCUGGCAAUAUAUAAUUAGACAAUUUUAUUUUGUGGUUAUAUUAUUAUUAUUAUUAUUAUUAUUAUUAUUAUUAUUUUAUUGCAAACAUUUUGAUUUUUUGAAAAAUGUCAGGAGAAACCUCUGUCUGUAUUGCUUUAUCCAAUUGAUUUUGGAUAAUAGAAAGUAUAUCCUGACAGCAUGAAUCAUGUUAGGCAAAACUAGGGUUUAAUUGUAUGUAUGUUCUAUAAUUCCCUACUGAUCAACAUAUAGUCUAUGAACCAGCAGUAUCUUUACACCUGGGAUGUUGAGAAAUGUGGAAUAUUUGGCCCCACCUGAGAUCUGCUGAACCAUAUCUGCAUUUUAACAAAAUUCCAAAGUGAUUUACAUGGACUCUAGAGUUUGAGAAACAUUCCUUAAAGGCACACACCCAUCACAUAUUUUGAAGGUCCUGAAAUCUAGGUCCUUGUUACUGUUAGUGGUUUGCAUACCAUUACAUAAGUAUCACCUGGGAGCUUGUUAGAAAUACACACUUUCAGGUCUAAGCCCUGAUCUCUUGAGGCAGAAUUUAAAUUUUAACAAGAUCCCCUGGUGGUUUCUAUGAACAUUAAAAUAUGAAAAGCAUUGAUCUAGAUUACACCAUCUUGUUGAAGCUAGCUUAACUUGAAUUCUAGUUGUAGAAUAAAUGUCCCCCCACCCCUCAGGUACCUCUUUAGUAGUCUUAGCUAGAGCAUUGCCAAUUUAGUAAAGAUGGCUACAGUCUCUAAGUACAUAAAGGAGGAAUCUACUCAACUUCUUUAAUAAUUGACGUACACUUCUGACAUUUGCCCUUGACUACUUCUCUCCAGACUCUAUCGUGGAUAAUUCUCUUACUCCCACUUAUUCUUAUAAAAAUAGAGGAGGAGUCUGUCAUACUUAUUUUCCUACUCAUAUGAUUUCCAGAGCAUUGUUCUACAAAAUUAUUUAACAAUUUCUUUUAAGAUAACAGGUCUCCAUAGGCAUUUGUUUCCUAAUUCCCAUUGUCCCAGCCAUGUCCCCAGUGUUUGCUGUCCUUCUGGGCAUUUUCCCUCUGUCCUGGAUGGCAGCUCCUCAUUCAGGUUUCUUCUUCCUCUCAAGGCCUGCUACCUUCCUAGUCUGUGGCAUUCUUAAUGCCACAGGUCACAGGCAUUCUUGGUGGUAUUAUCUUUAUUUUCUCUUUACUCAUGGUACCCUAGAGUAAUGUCAUCUUUGUCAUUCCAGUUCGCCCCUCUCCAAGCUCCUUCUUCCAAGAAUCUGGAAUUUCCUUUCAAGUUUCCUUUCAGUGGACUACAGCCUUUCUUCUCAAUUUCUUACUCUGGUUGUCUCCACCCAAACCUUGAAUUUCACCACAACCAUAAGCCAUCAUAACAGUGCCUUUAAUAGCAUCUUUGAAGGUUCUCUUUGACUUUUCCUGUAUUCCUCUCAACCCUAGACUGCCUCUGCCCACCUGCUUUCUCUGCUUUUGUUUUCAAGCUUUUAGGCUUGCUUGUGGAAAUUAUGAAACAAAGAUGAUUGAGUCAGAUAAUGUUUUUGGCUUUAUCACCUCAGCCAGAUGUUCUCUUCUACCCCACUGUCCUUUUACAUGUUUACUGUAGUACCCAAUCCCAUGUGCGUCUUUUUAAUUUCUUAGAAGUGGGAGAUACUCUUUUCAUAGUGAAUGGUGGUAAGGAUCUAUGCUUUCAGAUUAAAUUUGCUGGUAGGUUUCUAAAUCAUGGUGCUUUUAUUUCAUUACAAUUUUUCUUUAGAACAGUUACAAUAAAAAUAUAUUUGUCACAUUGCUGUGCUGCAGAUUUUAUUAUGGUCUUUAGAUGCAGAUGGCUUUUACCUUCUUGUGGAUAUAAACCACAGUAACAAAGAUCUGGUGCUUAAUUGGUCUCAUUUCCUCUUAAGCAUUGUCACUUUAAAAAUUGCUACUUAGAAGAAUGAAAAGAGGACAUUAAGAUUUCUUUCCUAGUGGCAUUAAAUGGUAAGGAAGCACAAUUCAGUUAUAAUCUGUUCAGUUAUAUUGGAUAGCCAACAAGACUAAAUGAAUUAAAAAAUAAAAGAAAUGCUUGUUGGUUUAUGGUCAAAACAUCUCUAGGAAUUUUGUACUGUUGGUGCAGUAAAAAAGUAAUUGUUUUAUUAAAUUGCUUCAGUGUCCCCAGCAUUGCACCACUAACUGUGGUGGAGCCAGAGGAAGUACAGGAUAUUUUAUCUGACUGGAAAAACUUGUAUUAUACAUUGGAGAAAAAAAUGGUAAUACACACAAAUGCUGUGAGAUAGAAUGUGAUAUAAAACACAACCUUUUUACAAAGGUUAAUGAUGUCCUGUUGCCCAAAAUAGAGUCCAUGCUCCGUGGAAUAGUGUGCUUGCUCAUUAACCUCUGGGUCCUAACCACCCUUUCCAGCAUCAUCUUCCUCCAUUGCAUGCCCCUGAAACAUGCCCUACACUCCAGUCACUUUGAUGUGCUUAUUAUUGCAGAAUGUAUCAUCUACUUCAAUACCUGCCUGCUUUGGUGAAAUUUUGAAACGAGCAAGUUUACCUUUUUGCCAUUGUGUUUUCCCAUUGCUACCACCACAGAGCUAAAGCCUAUUACUGGAAGGCUGCCUUGGGCAAAACCGUGAAAUAGAAGUACAACAGCGAACAAAACGGAUCCAAGUUCCUGCCCUGAUGAUGCUUACAUUAUAGUCAAGGAAGACAGACAAAAUAGGUGUUAAUACUUUAUUAGUUAGAAAUGGAUUUGGGGAUUUUUCUUACACUCUGAAGGUAAGCAUGGAAAAUUAGGACUGUACUCCCUGUAUCUGUCUGUGAAUAUACUAUCACUCAGUCACCCUAGCCAGAACAGUAGAAAUCAUCUUAAAAUAUCUAAAACCCAUGUGUUCUACCUUUUAAAUUUCUGUCCUUAUUAAGGUUAUCUGAGGCCUCCCUUUUGCUAAAUUCAGUGAAAAAGUCUUAACCCUCAUUUUUCGUGCCUAUCAGUUAAGAUGACAUAGAUGGUCAUUCCCUUUAUCUUGAAUAAGUUUCUUCACUUGGUUAGUUUUCUUUGUUUGUUCUUCCUCUUUCUAAUCUCUAAUAACUGGAAUCCCUCAGCGCUCAUUCCUUGGGCCUUUUCUUUGACAAUACAAAUCAUCUCUUGAUGAUUUCAUCCAGGCUCGUAGUUUUAAACAUCAUUCAUAUGAAGAUAUUUCCCAAAUUUGUCUGUUUAGCCCAGAUUUCUCUCCUGAACUGCAGACUCAUUUAGGCAGUGGUCCCCUUCUCAUUUCUACUUGUAUGUCUAAUUAGCUUUGGAGUCUAAUAUAUGAAGCUGAAAUCCUGGUCAUUCUUAUGAAACCUGCUCCUCUCAUAGUCCUCCUCAUCUCAGUAAUUGGCUAUUUCAUCCUUCCAGAUUCUCAGGCCAAAACAACUUGGGGUUAUGCUUGACUCCUCCCUUUUUCUCAUACUUCACAUUUAAUCUGUCAGUAAAUGUUGUUGGCUCUAUCUUCAAAAUAUAUGCAGAAUAUAGGUUACUUCUCAUUACCUCUACCUUUCCAAGCCACCAUCAUCUUUUACCUAUUUUUUGUAAGGGCCUCCUUUUUUUUUUUUUUUUUAAUAUUUAUUUCUGAGAGAGAGAGAG